rnacentral:rRNA from 1 species
GAUGAACGCUAGCGGCAGGCUUAAUACAUGCAAGUCGAACGGUAAGGUCUCUUCGGAGAUACACGAGUGGCGCACGGGUGCGUAACGCGUAUGCAACCUACCUUUAACUGGGAAAUAGCCCCGAGAAAUCGGGAUUAAUGUCCCAUACUAUUCUGAGAAUGCAUAUUCUUAGAAUGAAAGCUCCGGCGGUUAUUGAUGGGCAUGCGUGACAUUAGCUAGUUGGUGAGGUAACGGCUCACCAAGGCUACGAUGUCUAGGGGUCCUGAGAGGGUUAACCCCCACACUGGUACUGAGACACGGACCAGACUCCUACGGGAGGCAGCAGUAAGGAAUAUUGGGCAAUGGACGCAAGUCUGACCCAGCCAUGCCGCGUGAAGGAUGAAUGUCCUAUGGAUUGUAAACUUCUUUUAUGCAGGAAAAAUAUCUCGGUCGUGAACCGGGGACUGAUGGUACUGUAUGAAUAAGCAUCGGCUAACUCCGUGCCAGCAGCCGCGGU